AGGACGGGUCGUGUGGCAGUGUAUUGAUUUCUUAGCUAUAUUGCACACUUCCCGCCCUUU
rnacentral:pre_miRNA from 1 species